UGAAGUCUCUUUAUAGAGGAGACAGCGCCAUCUGGUGGUGCUCUCCUUCGAGGCUGCUGCUCCCUCUCUGGAGCCUUGUUGACUGUCCAGUUUGUCUACGCAGGCCCCUCCAGUAACGUGCUUCAGAAGGUUGACGUCUCUUUGAUCACUCAGGAUAUUUGCAACCAAUCAUAUCGCUACAAGAUAUCUCCCAGGAUGCUCUGCGCUGGGUACCCAGACGGGAAGAAAGACGCCUGUCAGGGAGACUCAGGAGGCCCACUGGUUUGCAAAGAGCCGAACGGACGCUGGUUCCUGGUGGGCGUGGUCAGCUGGGGGAUCGGUUGCGGCCGGCCCAAUUUCUACGGCGUUUACACACGGAUCACCAAGAUGGUGGACUGGAUCGACGAGGUCACUUCCUGAAAGGAGUCUCAUUCCCAGUCCUUCACCUUUUGAUUUAGAUAGGCAACCCUAUUAAGGCUAUUACUGGGUUUGAAAAAAAGACACAGUCUGGUUCAACCCUUCUGUUUUGUCUACACUAAAAAAAAUCUGGUACGACGCUAGGAUUAGAAACGUUGCAGAAGCUAGGCUUUUACAAUGGGACGCUAACAUAAGGGAGUCGCUGUGGACUGUGUGUGUGUGUGUCUGUGUGCGUUCUGCCCUGGUUAAACAUUAAACUGCAGGGAGCUCGGAAUGGGUUUGUAAAUAAGAACUACAAAUAAAGGGAAAGAAAUAUGAA